rnacentral:tRNA from 2 species
GGGGUCGUGGUCUAGCAUGGACUAAGAUUCGCGCCCGGGGCGCGCGAGGUCCGGGGUUCAAAUCCCCGCGACCCCACCA